AUGCACGCUAGCUACAGGCUUAACACCUGCCAGUCGCGGGGCAGCAUGGUCUUCGCUUGCUAAGGCCGAUGGCGACCGGCGCACGGGUGAGUAACACGUAUCCAACCUGCCGUCUACUCUUGGACAGCCUUCUGAAAGGAAGAUUAAUACAAGAUGGCAUCAUGAGUCCGCAUGUUCACAUGAUUAAAGGUAUUCCGGUAGACGAUGGGGAUGCGUUCCAUUAGAUAGUAGGCGGGGUAACGGCCCACCUAGUCUUCGAUGGAUAGGGGUUCUGAGAGGAAGGUCCCCCACAUUGGAACGGAGACACGGUCCAAACUCCUACGGGAGGCAGCAGUGAGGAAUAUUGGUCAAUGGGCGCAGGCCUGAACCAGCCAAGUAGCGUGAAGGAGGACUGCCCUAUGGGUUGUAAACUUCUUUUAUAAAGGAAUAAAGUCGGGUAUGUAUACCCGUUUGCAUGUACUUUAUGAAUAAGGAUCGGCUAACUCCGUG
rnacentral:rRNA from 1 species